GACGAACGCUGGCGGCGUGCUUAACUCAUGCAAGUCGAACGGAAAGGCCCUGCUUUUGUGGGGUGCUCGAGUGGCGAACGGGUGAGUAACACGUGAGUAACCUGCCCUUGACUUUGGGAUAACUUCAGGAAACUGGGGCUAAUACCGGAUAGGAGCUCCUGCUGCAUGGUGGGGGUUGGAAAGUUUCGGCGGUUGCGGAUGGACUCGCGGCUUAUCAGCUUGUUGGUGGGGUAGUGGCUUACCAAGGCUUUGACGGGUAGCCGGCCUGAGAGGGUGACCGGCCACAUUGGGACUGAGAUACGGCCCAGACUCCUACGGGAGGCAGCAGUGGGGAAUAUUGCACAAUGGGCGGAAGCCUGAUGCAGCAACGCCGCGUGCGGGAUGACGGCCUUCGGGUUGUAAACCGCUUUCGCCUGUGACGAAGCGUGAGUGACGGUAAUGGGUAAAGAAGCACCGGCUAACUACGUG
rnacentral:rRNA from 1 species